rnacentral:rRNA from 1 species
UACGUAGGGCGCAAGCGUUGUCCGGAAUUAUUGGGCGUAAAGCGCGCGUAGGCGGCUACUUAUGUCGGAUGUGAAAGCCCUUGGCUCAACUGAGGAAGUGCACCCGAAACUGAGUAGCUGGAGUACGAAAGGGGGUCGCGGAAUUCCCGGUGUAGAGGUGAAAUUCGUAGAUAUCGGGAGGAACACCUGUGGCGAAGGCGGCCCCCUGGUCGGAUACUGACGCUGAGACGCGAAAGCGUGGGGAGCAAACAGG